UAUAGUGCCCUUUAGCAUUUUGGAUGUUUAAUUAGCUAGAGUACGUAUCCGUGUUAUGUGACUGCGCCUGUGCUCACAAGCUAACCUAGCUAGCUUCCGUACAACACUGAGAACGUGCUAGUUUUAAAUAAGCUUAUCUGCAAUAAAAUAUAUAUAUAUUGUAAUUUUUUAUAUUAUUUUAUAGCCGUUAAACGGCGAUCUUUGCUCAGUUAGGAGUGAGACUUUUACGUAUUUCCAAUGCGAGUUCAUCGCGCGAGCGCGGGAUUUUCAAAUUUCAAAUAACCGACAUGAGCGUUGCCCCUCGGUCGGUUUGGAUGCGACGAGGAUUUUACGAGUCAGCGGCAUUUGUUCAGGUUGGUGCAAUAUUUUCUGACAUAUACUCUCCGUCCGCAGGUGUUAGAGCAGAGAACUACUGGAAACGGAAAACAGAAGUACAGAGACUUGCCCUAAUGGAAAGGUAACCCAUGAACAUUAAAUAGAAAUGUGCUGUCAUGCUAUGCAUUUCCUGAGGUAAUUUACACGAACCUACCAAAAUGGUGUUUGAGUUAUUUCACUCUACAUAUUGUUUGCAUUGUAUAUCGUAUUAUCAUAAAUCUAUUAUUUGUUUCAUACGGUAAAGGAAAAUAAUCAAAUUACUUACACAAGUAUUUGUUUAAUUAAGCUUUAACAUUUGUACCUUUUUCUAAGAUUGUGUACUCAUUUCACAGCACAUAAUUGAUUUCCUAAUUUAUUACAGCUAUUUUGACUUGAAACGUGUUCUUUAUCAUCUAAAAUGUGUCUCUUGGUGUUUACCUCCAAUGGCCAUUCUGUGAAAGUGUCCCAUUCUAGAGCUGAGAAGAGACAGCAGGAAAGGGAAUCAUCUGCUAGUGUCGCUCCAGAUGUCUACAUGUCCACAAGUUGUUUAAGAAAAAGUAAGUAGGUACGACUAUUGCAAACACAAGGCAAGAAGUUAUCAGAGAUGAACCCUUCAUCACCGAGUUCAAAACCAGAUGGCCUGCUCUCUUCUGUGUUUCUGAGAAUAAAUUUAAGAGGACUACAACAGUUUGCUGCAACAGUUCUUCUCCAUGCUGGAUGGUUAUUCUUCAGACCUGAAAACGGUGUUUGGCAAGGAAGGCGGCAUUCAAGGACAAAAGAUUAAGAGCAUCAUGGUUCCCAUAACCCAGACUAACUCCAUUGAUGUCAGAAGAGUACAUCCUUUAAGCCCAGUGUGUGUUCCUCAAUGAAGAUCCUGGCAACCUUGUGAAAUAAUGGAUGAUCGUGGACGCCUUGAAGAAGCCAUGAUAGAGACAAUUCUUGAAGUUUUUUUCAUUCACAAAGAUGCAGAGGCAGAUGAUGACCCUGAAGAUGUAGUCAUCGUUUCAAGUCCUGGAUGAGUUGGGUAGUGUCCCACUUGCUGUGUUGUUGUUUGCUCUUGUUAUAUGCUCUCAACCUCAGCUACCCUCCACUAAAAGUUGUUUGAAAUAUUGGCCCAAUGCUGUAUGUACAAUACUGGAUGUUAGUGACAUUUUGUAGCUGCCUUUGACAUUUGAAAGCUGUUUUAUCGUUUUUAUGAAGCUUAUAAAGUAUUCUAACCAGUCUAAAUCCAA